rnacentral:rRNA from 1 species
GACGAACGCUGGCGGCGUGCUUAACACAUGCAAGUCGAACGGAAAGACCCUGCUUUUGUGGGGUGCUCGAGUGGCGAACGGGUGAGUAACACGUGAGUAACCUGCCCUUGACUUUGGGAUAACUUCAGGAAACUGGGGCUAAUACCGGAUAGGAGCUCCUGCUGCAGGGUGGGGGUUGGAAAGUUUCGGCGGUUGGGGAUGGACUCGCGGCGUAUCAGCUUGUUGGUGGGGUAGUGGCUUACCAAGGCUUUGACGGGUAGCCGGCCUGAGAGGGUGACCGGCCACAUUGGGACUGAGAUACGGCCCAGACUCCUACGGGAGGCAGCAGUGGGGAAUAUUGCACAAUGGGCGGAAGCCUGAUGCAGCAACGCCGCGUGCGGGAUGACGGCCUUCGGGUUGUAAACCGCUUUCGCCUGUGACGAAGCGUGAGUGACGGUAAUGGGUAAAGAAGCACCGGCUAACUACGUG